rnacentral:rRNA from 1 species
CGUACACGGUGGAUGCCCUGGCAGUCAGAGGCGAUGAAGGACGUGCUAAUCUGCGAUAAGCGUCGGUAAGGUGAUAUGAACCGUUAUAACCGGCGAUUUCCGAAUGGGGAAACCCAGUGUGAUUCGUCACACUAUCAUUAACUGAAUCCAUAGGUUAAUGAGGCGAACCGGGGGAACUGAAACAUCUAAGUACCCCGAGGAAAAGAAAUCAACCGAGAUUCCCCCAGUAGCGGCGAGCGAACGGGGAG